AAAUUUCAUCGUGAUGGGGAUAGAUCAUUGCAAUUGUUGGUCUUCAACGAGGAAUGCCUAGUAAGCGCGAGUCAUCAGCUCGCGUUGACUACGUCCCUGCCCUUUGUACACACCGCCCGUCGCUCCUACCGAUUGAAUGGUCCGGUGAAGUGUUCGGAUCGCGGCGACGGGGGUGGUUCGCCGCCCCCGACGUCGCGAGAAGUCCAUUGAACCUUAUCAUUUAGAGGAAGGAGAAGUCGUAACAAGGUUUCCGUAGGUGAACCUGCGGAAGGAUCAUUG
rnacentral:rRNA from 1 species